rnacentral:rRNA from 1 species
UACGAAGGGGCUAGCGUUGCUCGGAAUCACUGGGCGUAAAGGGUGCGUAGGCGGGUCUUUAAGUCAGGGGUGAAAUCCUGGAGCUCAACUCCAGAACUGCCUUUGAUACUGAGGAUCUUGAGUUCGGGAGAGGUGAGUGGAACUGCGAGUGUAGAGGUGAAAUUCGUAGAUAUUCGCAAGAACACCAGUGGCGAAGGCGGCUCACUGGCCCGAUACUGACGCUGAGGCACGAAAGCGUGGGGAGCAACAGGG